GUCAAUAAGGCACAAGUAACUUCCGGCCGUAUGUCAACAUAGCAGAAGCGUACGACGUCCUGGAAUUUCAAGAACUUGACGGUGUAAUAGAUCUUUUCUUUGCUAAAGAUUUGUUUGAGACAUCUCAACCUGUCGUUCCAGUAGCAUCCAUUCAAACUAAUCCAGUUAAAUUUAAUGGGAAAGUUCAAGUAGUGGUUAUAUGAAAAAUGAUCUGAUGUUCACAUGAUCUCAAGGGUUUGCCGAACCUCAAUCGAGUUUAACCUCAACAAGGAAUAUUAUACAUCAAAACUUGUCAUCUGCCUGUGCAUUUUCUAGUAUAAGUUUAUCAUCAUUUGGAACAAAUGGUUAAAUUACUAUUCAAGAUGACUAAUUUAAAAAACAAGAACAACAAUAUGUGGUUGGAAUGAUCCAAGGCUCUGUUCAAAGAUAUAUUAUACACAUGACAGUGAUGCUUGUUAAAUAAAACUUGUGAAUUUAACAGAUAAUGACCAUUGAUAAACACUAAAGGCAAAUAGAAAUGCACAAAAAAAUCCAUAAGCUUAUGAUAAUAAUGAUUAAACAUACAUUAUGCAAGAGCUAAAUCUGCCUAUUGCAGGUUUUCUUUAGGCCUGAAAUGUUUUCUAAAUUAUUAAUUAGACAUUAAUUAACUUAUCCAGGCCCUAAUCAACUCUCGAUGGCAUCGGAUUUCUCCAAUAUUAAAUAGAUUAGAACAGUUCAGCCAUAUUUUGAUUUAAGCUAAAAAUGGAGGAGUGAGACUACUUCGAACAACCAGUACGAUGGUUGAAAUUAUUGCACACGUCUUGUCAAACCUUCAAAGGCCUUCAAAGGCUAAUAUCUUCGCUCGCAAUAGAGUAAUUUGAAUGAAAUUUUCAAAUUAUUCAUUUUACUUUAUUUAUCUUCGAACUAUUAUAGCAAGAAUGGCUAGCUCUUUAUCAAAAUCUUACAUAAUGUAUAUUUAAGAAUAAUUUAAUACAUUUAUAAAGCUCACACAUUACAAGUUGUGCACCUGUAUAAAAUUUGUAUAAAUUUUGUUAUCAUUGUUAAUAUUUUAUACUGAGAUGCAAUAAAAAUAAUACAUCACUUUUAUAAAUGGAUGAAUGUAAAUCUUGUUUGAAAUGAAUCCAGGUUUAACGCCCUACUUAGUACUUUUCAGCUCAAUUUUGUUUUAAAGAUUUGCUUUAAUCUUGCAAUUAAGGAUGUAACAACAUCAUAUUACGAUGAUAACAUGUGAGAAUGUUUUGAAGAUUGCGUAAACGCACCCCGAACAAUUCUCAAUCAAAAAAAUUAAACCCAACAGAAUCAGUAUGUUGAUUUUUCUGGUACACACGUGGGGUAUAUAAUGCAGCUUUUAAAAAGCUAGGUUUUGUGCAACUGUGGAAGGUGCAAAGUUAUGCCACGUCAUCUCAGAGGUGCUAUUUCAUUGCGUCUCGAUAUAUUUUGUUUACAAUUAUCAACCUGGCCCCAAGUUCACAAAGCAUUCCCAGACUUAAUAAUUUGCUCAACUUUCAAUCAUUGUUUUUGAGAAAUAUCUUUGAUCCAGAAACACAAAACUUUGCACAUAGUUUCUUAUUGAUAUAUUUACAUUAAAACAACAAUAGUUAGUAAAGUGCUAUAUUUAAGUUAAAAUAAGACAAACAAUUUUGAGUAAAACCUUAACUUAAGACUGAGAAUGCUUUGUGAACUUGGGGACUUGUUUUCUUUUCAUUACUUAUUAUCUACAAUACAGUAAUAACAAGAAAUAAAAAAUCUGUAGAACACUGCUGAUUAAGUUCUAGAUUUAAUCCUAGAUUCAAUCCCAUUUAUAUUUUUAUACUUCCAAUAUCGAUAUUAAUUCCAAUAGAGCCAGGUGAUGUUUAGUUUAAUUAUACACUUUCUAUUUUGUUGUAUGAAAUUAUCUGUAUAAUCUGUGUUUUUGUUACUUUCAUUGUGUGAAAUGCUUGCAGCAAAGUGCUGUAAAUAAAAUACCUGACAUCACUGAUCACAGUUUAACUCUAUAACUUCUCAUUUGACCUCAAAUCUAUGUGGAGUGGAGUCAGUUGGAAGAAAUAAAUCAAAAUGGAGUGAAAUCUACAUUUUAAUCAAAUUCGUACCACAUGAUUAUAUUCUAUCACUUUUUGCUCGUUUAUAUGGCAACUAUAUAUUAUUGCUAAGCUAUUUUUGAAUUGUAAAUUACAUUUACAAGUAUGUAAAUAUUGAUUCUUUGAAUUAUAUAUUUUCAAUCAAAAUCUGAAUAUGCAAUGUGCUAUGUAGCCAUAUAUGUGAAAUAAACUAUUAUUAUUGCUAUUUACUUUCUCUGUAAAUC